AGAUUACCAGAUAAGUUGUUGCCUUCAAGCCUUAUUCUUUUUAGCUCUGUGCAAUUCUUCAAGCAAUCUGGUAACUUCCCACUGAAUUUGUUACCAUUUAUUGUGAACUCCUCAAGAGCAAACUGGCUACAUAAUCCAGGUGGCAGUUCACCAGUGAAGCUGUUAUUUGAAAAGCUGACACCGGACAAUUGAGGACUGUUCUUUCCAAACCAUUUAUUGUCAACUCCUCAAGAGCAAACUCGCUACAUAAUCCAGGUGGCAGUUCACCAGUGAAGCUGUUAUUUGAAAAGCUGACACCGGACAAUUGAGGACUGUUCUUUCCAAAGUCCUCAGGAACACUGCCUGAGAUAUUAUUACUAUAUACAGAAAAAAGCUUCAGACUACUGAGGUCA
rnacentral:lncRNA from 1 species